rnacentral:rRNA from 1 species
GACGAACCGAGCGAACGUUGUUCGGAAUCACUGGGCUUAAAGGGCGCGUAGGCGGGCGGCCGCGUCCGGGGUGAAAUCCUCCGGCUCAACCGGGGAAGGGCCUCGGGUACGGGCGGCCUCGAGGGGGGUAGGGGCGUGCGGAACUGUGGGUGGAGCGGUGAAAUGCGUUGAUAUCUACAGGAACUCCGGUGGCGAAAGCGGCGUGCUGGACCUUUUCUGACGCUGAGGCGCGAAAGCUAGGGGAGCAAACGGG